GUAGGUGAACCUGCGGAAGGAUCAUUACAGAGUUCAUGCCCUUACGGGUAGAUCUCCCACCCUUGAAUACUAUACCUCUGUUGCUUUGGCGGGCCGCCUCGGCUACCGGCUUCGGCUGGUGAGUGCCCGCCAGAGGACCCUAAACUCUGAAUGUUAUUGUCGUCUGAGUACUAUAUAAUAGUUAAAACUUUCAACAACGGAUCUCUUGGUUCUGGCAUCGAUGAAGAACGCAGCAUCUGACUGACUGAUC
rnacentral:misc_RNA from 1 species